rnacentral:rRNA from 1 species
AACGAACGCUGGCGGCAGGCCUAAUACAUGCAAGUCGAACGCUCCAGCAAUGGAGAGUGGCAGACGGGUGAGUAACGCGUGGGAACCUUCCCAGUGGUACGGAAUAGCUCAGGGAAACUUGAGGUAAUACCGUAUACGCCCUUCGGGGGAAAGAUUUAUCGCCAUUGGAUGGGCCCGCGUCGGAUUAGCUAGUUGGUGGGGUAAUGGCCCACCAAGGCGACGAUCCGUAGCUGGUCUGAGAGGAUGAUCAGCCACACUGGGACUGAGACACGGCCCAGACUCCUACGGGAGGCAGCAGUAGGGAAUAUUGGACAAUGGGCGCAAGCCUGAUCCAGCCAUGCCGCGUGAGUGACGAAGGCCUUCGGGUUGUAAAGCUCUUUUGGCGGGGACGAUAAUGACGGUACCCGCAGAAUAAGCUCCGGCUAACUUCGUGCCAGCAGCCGCAGUAACAC